UACGUAGGUGGCAAGCGUUGUCCGGAUUUACUGGGCGUAAAGAGCGCGCAGGCGGUCGUGCAAGUCGCGUGUGAAAGCCCCCCGGCUCAACUGGGGGAGGGUCACGCGAUACUGCUCGACUGGAAGGCAGGAGAGGGAAGCAGAAUUCCCGGUGUAGUGGUGAAAUGCGUAGAUAUCGGGGAGGAAUACCAGAGGCGAAGGCGGCUACCUGGACAAUUGCUGACGCUCAGGCACGAAAGCGUGGGGAGCAAACAGGAUUAGAUGACCCUAGUAACGUUCGAG
rnacentral:rRNA from 1 species